rnacentral:misc_RNA from 1 species
ACGAACAAAUGGAGGAUGAAAGACGGUUUAAUCAUGAGAAGCGGUUUCCAGGAAUGCAAAAUGCCAGAGAACAGUUUAAUGAAACACAUGACACUCAUUUUGGUUCGCAUACUUCAAGUAACACCCCAUGGCCAAUGAAUCAAAAUGUGACAAGUGGUAAUUUAAUGGGGCAGCAAGAGAUGAAUGCUCCAAAUCCGAGAUGGAGAAAUGAGUCCCACGUAAACCCCACAACCGACCAUUUUAGUCCGACAAAUUCGGAGCAUGUGCCUUUUCAGGCUUUUGGACUACGACCUCCUGAUGUUCAAACUCCUUCCCUUGAUGUCAGAAUGCCAAUGAAUAACACAAGGCAAUUAAGUUAUUUUCCCAAGCAAACACAUUUUGAGCCGUUCAACCUCCGUUUUCCACAUAAAGCCCCGAAUUCCAACUUUCCCGUUCCGCCAGAAGAUAGAGGAAAUGCAGCUGAAUAUGAACAUCCAUUUCCACAUCAAUCUCUAUCCCAGACAGGUCCUCCUCCAUUGGAUGCCCACAGAAUGAACCCUAUGCAGCCACCUGUUAAUUAUUCAUCAAGGCAUUCUGGUCCAACAUCUAUUCAAAUGAUGCACGCACAACCACCUGUACGUCCCCCACCAUCUCAUCCACCACCUCUUCCACUACCAUUUUCUUUACCACCACCAAGACAGGCAUCUCAACAACCACCACCACUCCUAGUUGGCCCAAAUGUUAUGUGUGCGCCCCCAGCAACACAAAGUGUUGGUCACCCAGAUGUGUUGUAUUUUCAACAUAACAAAUUAGCGGGACAGUCAAAUCGGACCUCUAUUGAUCAUCAUCAACAUGAUCAAGGGAUGUUAUUUUCCAAUAAGCCGACUGGUCAAUGUCAAAAGGACAUUGAUGAAAGAUGGAUUGCAAAUUGGCUGAUUGGAAGAUUGGGUAAAAAAGCUACAGACGCUAAAAAGUUGAAGAUAUAUGAGGCCCAUGACAUAAUUCAAAACAGCAUGGUUUUGCUGGCAACUCUACAGAAACAGAAGAAGCUCCUCCAGACCAUUUCCGAUUCAGCAGACCCAGCAACGUGGCAGCAUGAAAUGAUGGUUGCCGAGGCAACUAAGAUGCAGUUGUGUAAUGAACAGAAGAAGUUAACAGACGAAGCCGUAGACAGCUUAGAACUGAAACUUCUGGCAAGAUCAAAGAAAAGGGAACGGAUAAAGAGGAAGAGAAAAGCGGAUUAUGAAAACAAACUGAGAGAGGAGGAGAAUCGCGAGUUAAAACACCAGGCCAUUGAUAAGUGGAGAAGACAAAUAAUACAGAAAAACCUUGAAGAAAAGCAGAACAAGGAGAUUAAAGCGUCAGCCGAUGUGUUCUUGAGUGAAGUGCGGAAGAAGUUAUCAGAUGUUAAGAAGUCAACAGAUCUGUUACACACACUUCAGAAGUUGAGGAAGAUUCGAAAAGAUUUUGCAGAAAAACAAGGUCGCUAUUCCUCGGUAGUCUAUGAUGAAGAUUUUCACAAGACAGUUGACAAUUUGACAAAACUGCUGAAGAAACAACAAGACUUGUAUCUGGAAGAGGAGAAGACACUGAAGAUUAUGUUAGAAAACGACUGGGUUGAAGCUCUCGAGAAGGAGAAAGAAGAAAAGGAAUACAUUGAUUUGGAGAAGCAGAGGAGAGAACGGAAGAAACAUCAACAGAUGUUAUUUGGAAAACAAGAAGUCCCAUCACCCAGCGAUGAUCUGUAUCCAUUUUAUCAGUAUUAUACUCAAGCCAAAAAGAACUUUGAUGCCCUAGUUCAAAUCAGACAUGGCUGGGAUAUGUACCUGGUUCCAGAAUCAUUCCCAGGACGUAGCAGGAUCCCAGAUGGCUGGGUGUUACCAUGUGACCCUUCCAGUGACACAUGGGCGUCGGCUGUCAAACACUGAUAGUACUAAACAUUGAGUGACAUUACAGUCUACUUUCACUUUCAUAUUGAUAAUAAAGUUUCAGUGAUUGUGAACACUGAUAUUAGUGACACUACAGUCUACUUUCACUUUCAUGUUGAUAAUAAAGUUUCAGUGAUUGUGAACACUGAUAUUAGUAACACUACAGACUACUUUCACUUUCAUAUUGAUAAUGACAAUGUUUCAGUGAUUGUGAACACAGAUAUUAGUGACACUACAGACUACUUUCACUUUCAUGUUGAUAAUGACAAUGUUUCAGUGAUUGUGAACACUGAUAUUAGUGACACUACAGACUACUUUCACUUUCAUGUUGAUAAUGACAAUGUUUCAAUGAUUGUGAACACUGAUAUUAGUGACACUACAGACUACUUUCACUUUCAUGUUGAUAAUGACAAUGUUUCAAUGAUUGUGAACACUGAUAUCAGUGACACUACAGACUACUUUCACUUUCAUGUUGAUAGUGACAAAGUUUCAGUGAUUGUGAACACUGAUAUCAGUGACACUACAGACUACUUUCACUUUCAUGUUGAUAGUGACAAAGUUUCAGUGAUUGUGAACACUGAUAUCAGUGACACUACAGACUACUUUCACUUUCAUGUUGAUAAUGACAAAGUUUCAGUGAUUGUGAACACUGAUAUCAGUGACACUACAGACUAUUUCACUUUCAUGUUGAUAAUGACUAAGUUUCAGUGAUUGUGAACACUUGAUAUCAGUGACACUACAGACUACUUUCACUUUCAUGUUGAUAAUGACAAAGUUUCAGUGAUUGUGAACACUGAUAUCAGUGACACUACAGACUAUUUUCACUUUCAUAUUGAUAAUGACAGUGUUUCAGUGAUUGUGAACACUGAUAUUAGUGACACUACAGACUACUUUCACUUUCAUAUUGAUGAUAAAGUUUCAAUGAUUGUGAACACUGAUAUUAGUGACACUACAGACUACUUUCACUUUCAUAUUGAUAAUGACAAUGUUUCAGUGAUUGUGAACACUGAUAUUAGUGACACUACAGACUACCUUUCACUUUCAUGUUGAUAAUGACAAUGUUUCAGUGAUUGUGAACAAUGAUUUUAGUGACACUACAGACUACUUUCACUUUCAUGUUGAUAAUGACAAUGUUUCAUUGAUUGUGAACACUGAUAUUAGUGACACUACAGUCUACUUUCACUUUCAUGUUCAUAAUGACAAGUGUUUGUGAUCGUCAGUUAAACAUUGAUAUUAGUGACACUACAGACUACUUUCAGUUUAAUAUUGAUAAUAAAAUGCAAGUGAUUAGUUGUCAGACACUAAUUAAAUAUUAGGUGAAACUACUUUCACUUUUAUAUUGAUGUAAUGAAGUGAUACUGAGGUGUCAUGUUAUAAAGCAUGUGGCAUGCACCAAUUUCGAAUAUGAAAAGGGUGUACAUUGCAGACUAAUUUCACUUCAAUAUCAAUAUACUCCAGUGUCAAAAACUGAUGAUAAUGAACACAGGCAAUGGAUUGACAUCUCUCGUGUUACGGAGGGUGAAGGUCACCUCUACAUUACAUGUACUUUAUUACAGCCCACCACUCACCCUAUGCCACCACACUCUCACCAUACACCCACCACUCAACAUUCACCACACACACCACUCGCCACACAUCCUACCCCACCCCCUGUUAUUAUUAAUGUGCUCCGAGCACUGAUAAUAUAUUAUUUGAACACUUGAAAUUCAGAAUAUUCUAGAGGGAAGCAUGCUCCUAAACCCCCGUAACAUCUUCAGGCUCUCAAAUUGCCAUCCUCUGGCCAAUUCCACUGGCAUUGCUCCCACCCCACCCACCCCCACUUAUCAAUAAACUCUGAGGCCCCUGAACUGAUCGGGUGAUCUCUCCCCAUGUAUCAUAGUGCAUGCAUUGUUUUUGAUAAUUAAAAACAAAAAAUGUCAUACCCUACAAAGGCAUGCAUUACGUAGGAAGUAGGAAACUGUUUUUCUCAAAGUACGUUAAGUGUCCAUUAUAAACUUGCUUCCUAAACAAUACAUUAAUUUCAUGUGGAAAAAAAGAAGAAAAAAAGUACGUACUUUGGUAACUAGGGUGUGUGGCUUUAACCAGGCGUGGAUUGAGAGAGCCCAAAACCCGUUGUUUUUGAAAGGUCCAUGACAGGUGGACGGGAUAAGCGUCUUACAACGAGUUUUAAAAAUAUCUAACUAGCGAAAGCGAUUUGAUACGUUUUUAAACAACGAGUUGUAAGAUAAAUGGUAUUUAACGGACACGAAUGUUGUAUUCUAUUUCUUGCACUACAUAUCCAGAUAAAACGAUUUUAAAAUAAAUUUAAAUGCCAUUUCCAACGAAAACCUAUUUACGACCCUUGCGCUUAUAGCUAACUUGAGCAUGCGUCACAAACAAGUAAAUUUACGGUUAUCGUGUACGUCACGAAGUCGUCGAUUCGA